rnacentral:rRNA from 1 species
AACGCUGGCGGCGUGCUUAACACAUGCAAGUCGAACGGAAAGGCCCUGCUUUUGUGGGGUGCUCGAGUGGCGAACGGGUGAGUAACACGUGAGUAACCUGCCCUUGACUUUGGGAUAACUUCAGGAAACUGGGGCUAAUACCGGAUAGGAGCUCCUGCUGCAUGGUGGGGGUUGGAAAGUUUCGGCGGUUGGGGAUGCACUCGCGGCUUAUCAGCUUGUUGGUGGGGUAGUGGCUUACCAAGGCUUUGACGGGUAGCCGGCCUGAGAGGGUGACCGGCCACAUUGGGACUGAGAUACGGCCCAGACUCCUACGGGAGGCAGCAGUGGGGAAUAUUGCACAAUGGGCGGAAGCCUGAUGCAGCAACGCCGCGUGCGGGAUGACGGCCUUCGGGUUGUAAACCGCUUUCGCCUGUGACGAAGCGUGAGUGACGGUAAUGGGUAAAGAAGCACCGGCUAACUACGUGCCAGCAGCCGCGGUGAUACGUAGGGUGCGAGCGUUGUCCGGAUUUAUUGGGCGUAAAGGGCUCGUAGGUGGUUGAUCGCGUCGGAAGUGUAAUCUUGGGGCUUAACCCUGAGCGUGCUUUCGAUACGGGUUGACUUGAGGAAGGUAGGGGAGAAUGGAAUUCCUGGUGGAGCGGUGGAAUGCGCAGAUAUCAGGAGGAACACCAGUGGCGAAGGCGGUUCUCUGGGCCUUUCCUGACGCUGAGGAGCGAAAGCGUGGGGAGCGAACAGGCUUAGAUACCCUGGUAGUCCACGCUGUAAACGGUGGGUACUAGGUGUGGGGUCCAUUCCACGGGUUCCGUGCCGUAGCUAACGCUUUAAGUACCCCGCCUGGGGAGUACGGCCGCAAGGCUAAAACUCAAAGGAAUUGACGGGGCCCCGCACAAGCGGCGGAGCAUGCGGAUUAAUUCGAUGCAACGCGUAGAACCUUACCUGGGUUUGACAUGGAUCGGGAGUGCUCAGAGAUGGGUGUGCCUCUUUUGGGGUCGGUUCACAGGUGGUGCAUGGCUGUCGUCAGCUCGUGUCGUGAGAUGUUGGGUUAAGUCCCGCAACGAGCGCAACCCUUGUUCACUGUUGCCAGCACGUUAUGGUGGGGACUCAGUGGAGACCGCCGGGGUCAACUCGGAGGAAGGUGGGGAUGACGUCAAGUCAUCAUGCCCCUUAUGUCCAGGGCUUCACGCAUGCUACAAUGGCUGGUACAGAGAGUGGCGAGCCUGUGAGGGUGAGCGAAUCUCGGAAAGCCGGUCUCAGUUCGGAUUGGGGUCUGCAACUCGACCUCAUGAAGUCGGAGUCGCUAGUAAUCGCAGAUCAGCAACGCUGCGGUGAAUACGUUCCCGGGGCUUGUACACACCGCCCGUCAAGUCAUGAAAGUUGGUAACACCCGAAGCCGGUGGCCUAACCGUUGUGGGGGAGCCGUCGAAGGUGGGACUGGUGAUUAGG